rnacentral:lncRNA from 1 species
GCUUGGUAGAGGGCUGUGCACACAGGGGUCUGCUCAGCUGUGGAGGGGAGCUUCAUUUCCAAAGGAUUCAUUCAAUACCCCUCUAGUAAACAGGAAGAUGUCUGAUGAUUUUUGCAUCCUUUAACAAGUUUUCAGUGUCUCCUUGUUCCUGACGUUAGAACAAUUUUCGUUGGUGUUCCCUUUGCUGCUAUUAGCUUAAAGCCUUUCUUUCUCGCUCUCCCUGUAAAAAAAUCAGGUUUUGCUGUGUAAAGCACAACUUCAGACUUCCUCUCCUUUAUCUAUAAGGCAAACACGAAGCACUAGGAAGAAUGAGGCUCCUAUUUCCCCACCUGUGAAAGUUUAGUGAACUUGACUGCUGGUGGCUGGCCUGAAAAAGUGAGGGUGUCUGGGUGCGGGUGCAGGGAAAUGAUGGGAUGAGGCCCAUGUGCACGGCAUGAAUGUGAGCGUCUUGCCUGAGGAGCUUAUAAAGGCUUCUCCUGGGGUGGGUGGGUUGCUGAAGGUGUGGGCCUUGCUCAUGAGGGGUGUGGGGGUGUCAGGAGUUGGCUGUGUGUUGCACAUACUGAGGUUAGCUUCUCUGGGGAGUGUUAAUCACAGCUGUGCACGUUGUGUCAACUCCUUUAGGUGUGGCAAAGCUUCAGCCCAGCAGAAAGCUCCAGGAGAGCAGUCUCUUGAGCUGAGAGAUGCAGAACUUGACAUUAUGAAGUAGCUUAAUGAGCUCCUCUGCUGUCCAGGUCUUUUGCAAUAUUGAGGUUCUGCUCUGUGUAUUUAUGUAUUUCCCUGGUUUCCAGCCAUGUAAGUAAUAAAUACAUUAAAUGAGACUGUGGUC